GAGGGUAUAGCUCAGGGGUAGAGUGCAUGCCUAGCAUGCACAAGGUCCUGGGUUUAAUCCCCAGUACUUCCA
rnacentral:tRNA from 1 species